rnacentral:rRNA from 1 species
CUACGGGGUGCACCAGUGAGGAAUAUUGCACAAUGGGGGGAACCCUGAUGCAGCAACGCCGCGUGGAGGAUGACGCAUUUCGGUGUGUAAACUCCUUUUAUAUGUCAAGAAAAUGACGGUAGCAUAUGAAUAAGCACCGGCUAACUCCGUGCCAGCAGCCGCGGUAAUACGGAGGGUGCAAGCGUUACUCGGAAUCACUGGGCGUAAAGGACGCGUAGGCGGGUUGGAAAGUCAGGUGUGAAAUCCUACAGCUUAACUGUAGAACUGCACUUGAAACUUCUAAUCUAGAGUAUGGGAGGGGGAGAUGGAAUUAGUGGUGUAGGGGUAAAAUCCGUAGAUAUCACUAGGAAUACCUAAAGCGAAGGCGAUCUCCUGGAACAUUACUGACGCUAAGACGUGAAAGCGUGGGGAGCAAACAGGAUUAGAUACCCUAGUAGUC